rnacentral:misc_RNA from 1 species
GAUGAAGAACGUAGCGAAAUGCGAUAAGUAGUGUGAAUUGCAGAAUUCCGUGAAUCAUCGAAUCUUUGAACGCACAUUGCGCCUUCUGGUAUUCCGGAAGGCAUGCCUGUUCGAGAGUCAUUAACAACCGUUUCGAUCCCUUUCUUUCAGAAAUUACAAAGAGGAAAAGGGUUUGGUUAUGGUGGAGGAGGGAAAGGGAGCGUUUAGCCUGUAAAAAAAGAGGCUGUGUUCCGCCUCCCCCCCAAAAUUGUACAGGCGGUCGUGUGCGCCCACGCAUCGAGGUGUUGUAAAAGCUGCCACGGCACUUUUCACCUGUGCAGUGCGAGAUUGGCCAGCCGGUUUAAAAACCCCUCCAAACAAUCAAAGGUUGACCUCGGAUCAGGUAGGGAUACCCGCUGAACUUAAGCAUACCAAUAAGCGGAGG